rnacentral:rRNA from 1 species
CCUACGGGUGGCAGCAGUGAGGAAUAUUGGUCAAUGGGCGCGAGCCUGAACCAGCCAAGUCGCGUGAGGGAAGACGGUCCUAUGGAUUGUAAACCUCUUUUGUCGGGGAGCAAAAGAAGCCACGCGUGGCGUUCCGCGAGUACCCGAAGAAAAAGCAUCGGCUAACUCCGUGCCAGCAGCCGCGGUAAUACGGAGGAUGCGAGCGUUAUCCGGAUUUAUUGGGUUUAAAGGGUGCGAGGUUGGAUGUUAAAGUCAGUGGUAAAAUUGUGGGGCUCAACCUAUACGUGCCGUUGAAACUGGGAGUCUUGAGUACAGGAGAGGUAUGCGGAAUUCGUGGUGUAGCGGUGAAAUGCAUAGAUAUCACGAAGAACUCCGAUUGCGAAGGCAGCAUACUG